rnacentral:rRNA from 1 species
ACGAACGCUGGCGGCGUGCCUAAUACAUGCAAGUCGAACGGCUUUUCUAUGGAAGCUUGCUUCCACUGAGAAGAUAGUGGCGAACGGGUGAGUAACACGUGGGUAACCUGCCCAUAAGAGGGGGAUAACAUCCGGAAACGGGUGCUAAUACCGCAUAGUUUUCUUGAUCGCAUGAUUGAGAAAGGAAAGACGGCCUUUGUGCUGUCGCUUAUGGAUGGACCCGCGGCGUAUUAGUUAGUUGGUGAGGUAACGGCUCACCAAGACGAUGAUACGUAGCCGACCUGAGAGGGUGAUCGGCCACAUUGGGACUGAGACACGGCCCAAACUCCUACGGGAGGCAGCAGUAGGGAAUCUUCCGCAAUGGACGAAAGUCUGACGGAGCAACGCCGCGUGAGUGAAGAAGGUUUUCGGAUCGUAAAACUCUGUUGUCAGAGAAGAACAAGUUGGAGAGUAACUGCUCCAGCCUUGACGGUAUCUGACCAGAAAGCCACGGCUAACUACGUG